rnacentral:rRNA from 1 species
UCCAGACUCCUACGGGAGGCAGCAGUGGGGGAUACUGCACAAUGGGGGGAACCCUGAUGCAGCGACGCCGCGUGGGUGAAGGAGCGUUUCGGCGCGUAAAGCCCUAUCGGCAGGGAAGAAGGAGGACGGUACCUGACUAAGAAGCCCCGGCUAACUACGUGCCAGCAGCCGCGGUAAUACGUAGGGGGCAAGCGUUAUCCGGAUUUACUGGGUGUAAAGGGGGCGCAGACGGCAGCGCAAGCCAGGAGUGAAAGCCCGGGGCCCAACCCCGGGACUGCUCUUGGAACUGCGCGGCUGGAGUGCAGGAGGGGCAGGCGGAAUUCCUGGUGUAGCGGUGAAAUGCGUAGAUAUCAGGAGGAACACCGGUGGCGAAGGCGGCCUGCUGGACUGCGACUGACGUUGAGGCCCGAAAGCGUGGGGAGCAAACAGGAUUAGAUACCCCAGUA